rnacentral:rRNA from 1 species
ACAUGCAAGUCGAGCGAGGCCAGGGGGGCAACCCCCUGAGUCGAGCGGCGGACGGGUGAGUAACACGUGGGUAACCUACCCGGAAGUGGGGAAUACCUCGGGGAAACUCGAGCUAAUACCGCAUGACAUCUUUGGGACGAAAGUCCUGACGAUCAAAGCGGGGUCGCAAGAUCUCGCGCUACCGGAUGGGCCCGCGCCCGAUUAGCUAGUUGGUGAGGUAAUGGCUCACCAAGGCUUCGAUCGGUAACCGGCCUGAGAGGGCGAUCGGUCACACCGGAACUGAGACACGGUCCGGACUCCUACGGGAGGCAGCAGUGGGGAAUCUUGCGCAAUGGGCGAAAGCCUGACGCAGCAACGCCGCGUGGAGGAUGAAGGCCCUUGGGUUGUAAACUCCUGUCGGCUGGGAAGAAGUUGUUCGCGGUUAAUACCCGCGGACAUUGACUGUACCAGCAAAGGAAGCCCCGGCUAACUCUGUGCCAGCAGCCGCGGUAAUACAGAGGGGGCCAGCGUUAUUCGGAAUUAUUGGGCGUAAAGGGCGCGUAGGCGGCCAUGCGUGUCUUCCGUGAAAUCCCUAGGCUCAACCGAGGACGUGCGGAAGAAACUGCAAGGCUCGAGUCCAGAAGAGGGGGGCGGAAUUCCCAGUGUAGCGGUGAAAUGCGUAGAUAUUGGGAGGAACACCGGUGGCG